UACGAAGGGGGCUAGCGUUGCUCGGAAUCACUGGGCGUAAAGCGCACGUAGGCGGCUUUUUAAGUCAGGGGUGAAAUCCUGGAGCUCAACUCCAGAACUGCCUUUGAUACUGAGAAGCUUGAGUCCGGGAGAGGUGAGUGGAACUGCGAGUGUAGAGGUGAAAUUCGUAGAUAUUCGCAAGAACACCAGUGGCGAAGGCGGAUCUCUGGACAGUUACUGACGCUGAGGCGCGAAGGCCAGGGGAGCAAACGGG
rnacentral:rRNA from 1 species